UACGUAGGGUGCAAGCGUUGUCCGGAAUUAUUGGGCGUAAAGAGCUCGUAGGCGGCUUGGCAAGUCGGAUGUGAAAUCCCUCGGCUCAACCAAGGAAGUGCAUCCGAAACUGCCGAGCUUGAGUACUUAAGAGGAUCGCGGAAUUCCCGGUGUAGAGGUGAAAUUCGUAGAUAUCGGGAGGAACACCAGUGGCGAAGGCGGCGAUCUGGGAAGAUACUGACGCUGAGGUGCGAAAGCGUGGGGAGCAAACAGG
rnacentral:rRNA from 1 species